UACGGAGGGUGCAAGCGUUAUCCGGAUUCACUGGGUUUAAAGGGAGCGUAGGUGGGUUGGUAAGUCAGCGGUGAAAUCCCCGAGCUUAACUCGGGAACUGCCAUUGAUACUACCAGUCUUGAAUACUGUGGAGGUAAGCGGAAUAUGUCAUGUAGCGGUGAAAUGCUUAGAUAUGACAUAGAACACCGAUAGCGAAGGCAGCUUACUACGCAGUUAUUGACACUGAGGCUCGAAAGCGUGGGGAUCAAACAGG
rnacentral:rRNA from 1 species